AAAAAGACAAACUCUGGUUUCCGUGCCCAACGUUUGACCGUCUGUCUUAUUUAAAAAAAUUAUUAAAAAAUUAAAAAGACAAGUCACGCAUAAAAUAUUAAUUAUAUUUUAUCAUCUAACAAUAAUAAAAAUACAAAUUAUAAAAAAAAAAUUAUAUAAGACGGACAGUCAAAGUUGGACACGAAAACUUAGUGUUUGACUUUUU
rfam:Oryza barthii chromosome 4, whole genome shotgun sequence.